AAAAUAACAAUUAGAAAUCAAAGAGAGACAUUAUAAUAAGAAAUCAUAUUAUAUAUUGUAGCUGCAAGGACUUUGGAUUUCCCAAAUCCUUCUUAUUAUCAAAUCAUCUCUUGCUCAUAAGCAGCAAGAAGAGUGUCAACUCCCACUACGCUCAUCAAUGGCAUUAGGUCCAUUACUUGAAAAAUUAAAUAACAAAAAAAGGGGGCAAUAUUACCAAGAAAAUGGCAAGCCAGAAGAACAACACAUCGCUGCAUUAUCACUAAUUAAGAUCAUAAUGGUUAUGAUAUAAACAAAGCUAUAAAAUUAAUCCCUCCACACCAAAAACCCAAAAUAAAUAAAUUCUAAUACUCUCUUUUUUUUCCCCUUUUCAUGUGUGAACUGUGAACCACAUUCAAGCUAAAACCCACACAAGAAGACGCCAAAAGAAAGAAAGAAGAGCCAUAUUACUAGAAAAUAAAAGAAAGAUUAAUCAAAAUAAUUAAUUCUCCUUUGUGUUCUCCCUAAUGGAAACUAGAGCCUGGAGUGUAAAUAGCAAGAUCA
rnacentral:misc_RNA from 1 species